AUUGAACGCUGGCGGCAGGCCUAACACAUGCAAGUCGAACGAGUGGCGGACGGGUGAGUAAUGUCUGGGAAACUGCCCGAUGGAGGGGGAUAACUACUGGAAACGGUAGCUAAUACCGCAUACCAUCGGAUGUGCCCAGAUGGGAUUAGCUAGUCGGGGGGGUAACGGCGCACCUAGGCGCCGAUCCCUAGCUGGUCUGAGAGGAUGACCCGCCACCCUGGGACGGAGACACGGCCCAGACUCCGACGGGAGGCAGCAGUGGGGAAUCUUUGACAAUUGGCGCAAGCCUGAUGCAGCCAUGCCGCGUGUAUGAAGAAGGCCUUCGGGUUGUAAAGUACUUUCAGCGAGGAGGCGUUACUCGCAGAAGAAGCACCGGCUAACUCCGUGCCAGCCGCCGCGGUAAUAC
rnacentral:rRNA from 1 species